UACGUAGGGGGCUAGCGUUAUCCGGAAUUACUGGGGCGUAAAGGGUGCGUAGGUGGUUUCUUAAGUCAGAGGUGAAAGGCUACGGCUCAACCGUAGUAAGCCUUUGAAACUGGGAAACUUGAGUGCAGGAGAGGAGAGUGGAAUUCCUAGUGUAGCGGUGAAAUGCGUAGAUAUUAGGAGGAACACCAGUUGCGAAGGCGGCUCUCUGGACUGUAACUGACACUGAGGCACGAAAGCGUGGGGAGCAAACAGGAUUAGAUACCUCGGUAGUCCCUGAGCGGG
rnacentral:rRNA from 1 species